rnacentral:lncRNA from 1 species
UUGGACCUUCUAAAACUAUUGGGCAUAAAAAAGGAACCUUCCAUAAGUACAAGGACUUAAAUGAUAUUUUUCAGAAGUUAAAGAGACACAGAGAGUGUGACAGGUAGACGCCACGUGGAACUUCGUUAUUAUUGGACCUUCUAAAAAGUAUGUGGGAAAAUAGAAACCUUCCAUAAGUAUAAGGACUUAAAUGAAAAUUUUAGAAGCUUUGAUAAAAUUAUACGUUAUUUAAUAAAACAGUCCUUUUAUUUCCUUGGUUACACCGGAUCUUGCCUUGAUCCAGAUUCUAUCCUCUGCUCCUUCCUCGUACUGCGCACCGUUCACGUAAGCCUUUCCUUUCCUUCUCCAUCACUUGUGUUGUGUAAUGAUAGAUCUCCCUGCGCAGAAACUAAGUGUAACGAAAUUUUUUGAUUAUUCGUACAGUUUUAGAUUUAAAGUCACAAACUUUACGAAAACAGAGCAUUUAUAGUUGUUGCAUGUGGCUAAAGAUCGAGUCUUUUGUUUUGAUCUUUGUAGAUACUACGAUGGGUGCUAACGAAACGAAUGUGGAGAGCAAAGAGUACCGUCUCUCUCGAGAAGUGAAGGAAGCUCUACAAGCUAUAGCCUCAGAGUGGGAAGACGUGAUCGAUUCCAAGGCGCUGCAAGUGAUUCCUCUGAAAGGUGCG